rnacentral:SRP_RNA from 1 species
CUACACGACCAGCUCCCUCCCAAUCCCCCAGGUCCUGACCGAAGCAAGGGCAAGAGGUUGAGCGGUGCGAUGUAGCAA